AUACGGGGGGUGCAAGCGUUAAUCGGAAUUACUGGGCGUAAAGCGCGCGUAGGCGGUUUGCUCAGUCGGAUGUGAAAGCCCAGGGCUCAACCUUGGAACUGCAUACGAUACUGGCAAACUAGAGUGUGAGAGAGGAUAGUGGAAUUUCCGGUGUAGCGGUGAAAUGCGUAGAUAUCGGAAGGAACAUCAGUGGCGAAGGCGACUGUCUGGCUCAACACUGACGCUGAGGUGCGAAAGCGUGGGUAGCAAACGGGAUUAGAAACCCCAGUAGUCC
rnacentral:rRNA from 1 species